AGGGGCAGCAUGGUCUUAGCUUGCUAAGGCCGAUGGCGACCGGCGCACGGGUGAGUAACGCGUAUCCAACCUGCCUUACACUCUUGGACAGCCUUCUGAAAGGGAGAUUAAUACAAGAUGUUAUCAUGAGUAAGCAUUUUCGCAUGAUUAAAGGUUUACCGGUGUAAGAUGGGGAUGCGUUCCAUUAGAUAGUAGGCGGGGUAACGGCCCACCAAGGCGACGAUCAGUAGGGGUUCUGAGAGGAAGGUCCCCCACAUUGGAACUGAGACACGGUCCAAACUCC
rnacentral:rRNA from 1 species